AGACCCACAAGUGCGACCCAUAAGUGGGGACCCAUAAGUGGGGACCCAUAAGUGGGACCCAUAAGUGACCCCUAAAGACCCACAAGUGGGGCCCAUAAGUGGGGGGGGGGAACCCAUAAGUGGGGGGCUGAGACCCACAAGUGGGACCCAUAAGUGGGGGGGACCCAUAAGUGGGGGACUGAGACCCACAAGUGCGACCCAUAAGUGGGGACCCAUAAGUGGGGGGCUCAGACCCACAAGUGCGACCCAUAAGUGGGGACCCAUAAGUGGGGGGCUCAGACCCACAAGUGCGACCCAUAAGUGGGGACCCAUAAGUGGGGGCCCAUAAGUGGGGAGUGGGACCCAUAAGUGGGACCCAUAAGUGACCCGUAAGUGGGACCCAUAAGUGACCCCCCAAAGACCCACAAGUGGGACCCAUAAGUGGGGGGCUGAGACCCACAAGUGCGACCCAUAAGUGGGGACCCAUAAGUGGGGGGCUCAGACCCACAAGUGCGACCCAUAAGUGGGACCCAUAAGUGACCCCUAAAGACCCACAAGUGGGGCCCAUAAGUGGGGGGGGGAACCCAUAAGUGGGGGGCUGAGACCCACAGGUGGGACCCAUAAGUGGAGGGGGACCCAUAAGUGGGGGGCUCAGACCCACAAGUGCGACCCAUAAGUGGGGACCCAUAAGUGGGGGGCUCAGACCCACAAGUGCGACCCAUAAGUGGGGACCCAUAAGUGGAGACCCAUAAGUGGGGAGUGGGACCCAUAAGUGGGACCCAUAAGUGACCCCCAAAGAUCCCCAAAUGGGACCCAUAAGUGGGGGGGGACCCAUAAGUGGGGGGGGACCCAUAAGUGGGGGGCUGAGACCCACAAGUGGGGCCCAUAAGUGGGGGGGGACCCAUAAGUGGGGGGGGGACCCAUAAGUGGGGGGCUGAGACCCACAAGUGCGACCCAUAAGUGGGGCGGGACCCAUAAGUGGGGGGCUGAGACCCACAAGUGGGGGGCUCAGACCCACAAGUGGGGCCCAUAAGUGGGGGGGGAACCCAUCAGUGGGACCCAUAAGUGACCAGCCAAAGACCCACAAGUGGGACACAUAAGUAGGGGGCUGAGACCCACAAGUGCGACCCAUAAGUGGGGACCCAUAAGUGGGGGGCUCAGACCCACAAGUGCGACCCAUAAGUGGGACCCAUAAGUGACCCCUAAAGACCCACAAGUGGGGCCCAUAAGUGGGGGGGGGAACCCAUAAGUGGGGGGCUGAGACCCACAGGUGGGACCCAUAAGUGGAGGGGGACCCAUAAGUGGGGGGCUCAGACCCACAAGUGCGACCCAUAAGUGGGGACCCAUAAGUGGAGACCCAUAAGUGGGGAGUGGGACCCAUAAGUGGGACCCAUAAGUGACCCCCAAAGAUCCCCAAUGGGACCCAUAAGUGGGGGGGGAACCCAUAAGUGGGGGGCUCAGACCCACAAGUGCAACCCAUAAGUGGGGACCCAUAAGUGGGACCCAUAAGUGGGGGUGGGACCCAUAAGUGGGACCCAUAAGUGACCCCCAAAGAUCCCCAAAUGGGACCCAUAAGUGGGGGGCUCAGACCCACAAGUGCGACCCAUAAGUGGGGGGGACCCAUAAGUGGGGGGCGAGACCCCAUAGUGGGGGGCUGAGACCCAAAUGGGGGCCCAUAAGUGGGGGGGGAACCCAUAAGUGGGACCCAUAAGUGACCCCCCAAAGACCCACAAAUGGGACCCAUAAGUGGGGGGCUCAGACCCACAAGUGCGACCCAUAAGUGGGGACCCAUAAGUGGGGACCCAUAAGUGGGGGGUGGGACCCAUAAGUGGGACCCAUAAGUGACCCCCAAACAUCCCCAAAUGGGACCCAUAAGUGGGGGGGGGGACCCAUAAGUGGGGUCCGAGACCCACAAUUGGGGCCCAUAAGUGGGGGUGGGACCCAUAAGUGGGACCCAUAAGUGACCCCCCAAAGAUCCCCAAAUGGGACCCAUAAGUGGGGGGGGGGACCCAUAAGUGGGACCCAUAAGUGACCCCCAAAGACCCCCAAAUGGGACCCAUAAGUGGGGGGGGAACCAUAAGUGGGGGGCUGAGACCCACAAGCGGGGCCCCUAAGUGGGGGGGGAACCCAUAAAUGGGGCCCGUAAGUGGGGGGGGACCCAUAAGUGGGGGGGGGACCCAUAAGUGGGAGGGGGACCCAUAAGUGGGACCCAUAAGUGACCCCCAAAGAUCCCCAAAUGGGGCCCAUAAGUGGGGGGGGAACCCAUAAAUGGGGCCCGUAAGUGGGCGGGGACCCAUAAGUGGGGGGCUGAGACCCACAAGUGGGACCCAUAAGUGGGGGGCUGAGACCCACAAGUGGAGUGCUGAGACCCACAAGUGGGACCCAUAAGAGACCCCCAAAGACCCCCAAGUGCACCCAUAAGUGGGAUCGAGGAUGGGACCAUAAGUUGGGUGGGACCCAUAAGUGAGAUCAGGACCCUCAAGUGACCCCCAGAGACCCCCAUAUGGGACCCAUAAGUGGGGGGGACCCAUAAGUGUGCCCCAUAGGCAGCCCCCCCUGCCCCAUAACUGCCCUACAUACCGCUCCCC
rnacentral:lncRNA from 7 species